CCUUCGGGGACUAUGUUUUUAUUCAUAUACCAUGUAGUAUGUUGCAGAAUGUAAUCAGUGGGCCUUUGUGCCUAUAUAAAACCUUAUACAACUUUCAGCAACGGAUCUCUUGGCUCUCGCAUCGAUGAAGAACGCAGCGAAAUGCGAUAAGUAAUGUGAAUUGCAGAAUUCAGUGAAUCAUCGAAUCUUUGAACGCACCUUGCGCUCCUUGGUAUUCCGAGGAGCAUGCCUGUUUGAGUGUCAUUAAAUUCUCAACCCCACCGGCUUUUGUGGCUGGUCUUUGGGGCUUGGACGUGGAGGUCUUUGCGGGCCUUUCGAGGUCGGCUCCUCUGAAAUGCAUUAGCGGAACCGUUUGCGAUCCGUCACAGGUGUGAUAAUUAUCUACGCCAGUGGAUUGCUCUCUGUCUGUUCAGCUUCCAACUGUCCACGUGGACAACCUUCUGAACGUUUGACCUCAAAUCAGGUAGGAUUACCCGCUGAACUUAAGCAUAUC
rnacentral:rRNA from 1 species